rnacentral:rRNA from 1 species
AAUCUUCCACAAUGGGUGCAAACCUGAUGGAGCAAUGCCGCGUGAAUGAAGAAGGUCUUCGGAUCGUAAAGUUCUGUUAUUAGAGAAAAACAAGCCCAGGAGUAACUGUCUUGACAUUGACGGUACCUAACCAGAUAGUCACGUCUAACUACUUUCCAUCGGCCGCGGUAAUACGUAGGUGACAAGCGUUGUCCGGAAUUAUUGGGCGUAAAGGGAGCGCAGGCGGUUGGAAUAGUCUGAUGUGAAAGCCCACGGCUUAACCGUGGAAGGUCAUUGGAAACUGUCCAACUUGAAUGCAGAAGAGGUAAGUGGAAUUCCAUGUGUAGCGGUGAAAUGCGUAGAUAUAUGGAGGAACACCAGUGGCGAAGGCGACUUACUGGUCUGUGAUUGACGCUGAGGCUCGAAAGCGUGGGUAGCGAACA